rnacentral:rRNA from 1 species
UUCCAUGAAGCCGGAAUUGCUAGUAAUGGCAGGUCAGCAUACUGCCGUGAAUACGUUCCCGGGCCUUGUACACACCGCCCGUCACACCAUGAGAGUUGGGAAUACCCGAAGCCUGUGAGCUAACGUUAAGAGGCAGCAGUCGAAGGUAGAAUCAAUGAUUGGGGUGAAGUCGUAACAAGGUAUC